UUUCAUGUAUUCUCCAUGGAUCCUCUGUGUGAUGGCUUCACACCACGGGCUUGUUAAAACUUCAUUUCUUCUCCCCUCCCCUUGGCCAGAUUAGCAGAGACUCGGCCUAAUACUACUAACGGCUGCCCUUGCUGCUUUAAAUAACUCUGCCUGAAGCUAGGCCCUCACAAUACGAGUGGCCCUCAAGGUCCGGAUUAGGAGUCACAUGCCCUCAAAAGAUGACUCCAGAAUCGUUUGCAUCUCUCUCUCCAUGUAUACAUCUACCAAAACGAAUCAGAAUCCCUGCCUCCCCCCACCCGGUUUGAAUAUACCAAUACAGUAUUUAGUUAUUUUGCAAGGAAGGCGGGGAUUAAAGGAAGCGAUCAAGAUUUUGGAUGAGCUUCUUGAAAUCCGGUGCAACAGCUGUGUUGGUAAAAUAUUGUUUUCUACUUCUAGAAGAGGGUGUUUGCAGUGAACUCUAGGACAAGGUACAAGAUGGAUGCUACUUGUGUGAUGUGGGGACUAAUUUGGCUGAUCAUACUCUUCUUUAUUGGAUGGCCCGUAAGCAUUUUCUUAGGAGGACUGUAUGGAUUCUUCUCUCCUCUGACAACUUUGGUAGGCCUAGAUGACGUCAGUGAUAUUCUACUGAGAGGAGUAAAUGUGGGAAGGCAAUGUGCUAAGAAUGUGCACAAUGGAAAGCCUCUCUUUUAAUAUAAAGGCCAGCCAGCUAGUAUUCUUCUUUCUCCCAUGAUGAAUUUUUGCAACUGAAAAUGUUCCUGUUUCUAUCGAAAAGUAAUUCAGGGUUUAAAGGAUAUGCUUUAUAUUUGCAUUCUAUAAAUAAGUAAAUGUAGACACUGGAAUCUGUUGUUCCUAUUUAUGUCACCUUUUCAUAAGUUAAUGUGCUAAAACCAGAGAUAUCUAAAUUAGAGCCUCAGAUUUCUGCCAGAUCUGUGUUAGAAUAGAAUGUCAGAUUCUUCAAACCUAAGCAUUCUAGAAUUUGGACAUAGCUACAUUUGCUGUGACCAAACCCCGCAAGUAUGAUUUUGCUCUUGUCUUGUAUGUUAACUUACAAUAAAGAAAUUAUUUGCUUAUUGAUGUUAAUGCUUCAUACCUGCAUUCAGUUACUAAUGUAUAAAUUUAUAGUAAAACAGUCACUGUUUGUUACACUUAACUUUUCUCUGAAUAUUUUACAGUACAUUAUUUUUAUGUUGGUUCUUU